CGGCGUGCUUAACACAUGCAAGUCGAACGAGACGAUUUUAGAAGCUUGCUUUUUAUUGAGUCGAGUGGCAAACGGGUGAGUAACGCGUAAGCAACCUGCCCUUCAGAUGGGGACAACAGCUGGAAACGGUUGCUAAUACCGAAUACGUUCUUUUUUGUCGCAUGGCAGAGGGAAGAAAGGGAGGCUCUUCGGAGCUUUCGCUAGAGGAUGGGCCUGCGUCUGAUUAGCUAGUUGGUGGGGUAACGGCCUACCAAGGCGAUGAUCAGUAGCCGGUCUGAGAGGAUGAACGGCCACAUUGGGACUGAGACACGGCCCAGACUCCUACGGGAGGCAGCAGUGGGGAAUCUUCCGCAAUGGGCGAAAGCCUGACGGAGCAAUGCCGCGUGAGUGAUGAAGGAAUUCGUUCCGUAAAGCUCUUUUGUUUAUGACGAAUGUGCAGAUUGUGAAUAAUGAUCUGUAAUGACGGUAGUAAACGAAUAAGCCACGGCUAACUACGUG
rnacentral:rRNA from 1 species